GCCUUCGUGGUGUUGCGGUUAGCACAUUCGGUGCAUAUUCGAGAGAUCCAGGUUCGAAUCCCGGCGAGGGCA
rnacentral:tRNA from 1 species